AGCUUUGUGAAGUGGCAGUGUUGUCGCUGAUGAGGUUUAUCUGAGGUAUGAUCAUUGCUAAUUGAAAACCCUUGCCAAUAACCUGCCAUGACAACUCGAAAUACAAUCGGCACUGGCAAUUUUUGACAGUCUCUACGGAGA
rnacentral:snRNA from 1 species